AACCUGGAUGGAGGCGCGAGGCAGCGCGCGCAGGGGACGCGAGCCGGCGAGCGAGCGGGGAGGCGGCGCGUGCUGCCAAAACCUAAGCGGCAGUAGUGGCGGCGGCAGCAGCAGGCUGAGGUCUGCAACCCAUGCGGGAAUCCGUGCUCUUGGGAGCUGGACUUGGACUAGGCAGCAGGAGGGAGGGAAGCCGUACGGAGAUCGGAGGAAGAACUCCCUGCUUGCACGUUAAAGAGGGCUUUUGUUUACUUGCAGGGCGCAAACCUUCUUCCCGUGUUUUUUGGAACUGCAAUGCAAAUUUGUGUUUGUUCGUCCCCCCCCCCCCCCAAAAAAAAAGUUGCACCGGGUUUAAGAGUUGGCCGACUAUGCGGCGGGAGGAGCGUUAUUUUAAGGAGUCUAAACGGGAUUUCCCAUGAACGACACAAAGCAGGCUUAGGGGUCCUGAGUUUAGGGCGGCAACUCCCCCCCCCACAGUACCCAACCGGAAGUGGAAGAAGUAUUGAUCCGCGGCUUCGAAUUUAAGUAAGGAGUGGACGCUCUGUGGAGGUGAGGACGCCUGUCUCCUUCGGGACCAGAUGUUCAAAGAGGAACAGAAUGCCCGGUUCAGAAUAGCGAUGUACAUGUGCAGCGGAAUCCUGUUCCUGUGUAUACUCGCAAAGAGACAGGACAGAACAGUCAUGGCCUGUACAACUCAGCUCUGAGCUCAGCUAUCUGAAGAUUUGGAACAGGAUGGAAGAAGCAGGAAGAAAUUGACCUCAGCUGUAUCAGUCUCUCCAACUGUUCCAAUUCCUGAAUUUUAUCGACACAAGCAGGAAGUCAGAAAUCCAUCAAGAAUCCACAGAUAGUGUCAUCAGCUGUCAUCUGCUUUGCCUGGAGGGUGAAUUACAACAAGAUUUGGAGUUUGGAGAUAUUGAUGUUAGUGAGUGGGUCCUUUAUGCUCUCCUGUGUAUAUGUUCCUUGUGUCUGAGAUACAAGGGCAUUGAUAUUUAUUCUUUGUAUUUUUGGUGGGGGCAGGGGGAAGUGGAGUAAUUUAGAGGAGCUAGAAUACUUUGUUAGUUUGAUGUUAGAGCUGCAAAUAUUUGCUCUACAAAAUUAUUUUUAAAACAUAGCCCUGCUUGAAAGCUUGCAAUCUGCAAAACAGCGCACCAAAAAAACCCAGGAAAGUAAAGGCAAGAAGGAGAAAAGAAAUGAAGGAAAUCAAUAUUAAAAUCAAGUAUACACUAACUGUUCCAUUCCAAUUGGUUAUGGUGAAUAUAGCAGCCCUCUAAAGAUUUCAGAUUGGUUUUUAGUCUACUUUUCUUAAGAGAAGAAAAGUUUUUCUUAGGAGAUCACCCAGCUCUCUUGCUGUGUUUGUGUGCGCGCGUGCACGCAUGCCCCUAUCUACUUCGCAAUGCCUGGACCAAUUUGAAUCAAAUUUGGUACAGUUGUAGGGACAUAAAGGGACACCUCGGUGGUAUCAUUUGUGAUGAUGUUAUCCACCCCAAUUCAAGAUGACAGACAUGUGAAUGUUUGAGGUACAAGUGGGCUAACUUGUGAACUGUCUGUCUGAUUUGAACCAAAUUUGGUGCAUUUGUAAGAACACAUAGGGACCCUUCAAUGGUGUAGUUUGUGAUGAUGUCAUCCAUCCCAAUUCAAGAUGGAGGAUACAUGAACAUUUGAGGCACAAGUGCACUAGCUUCUGAACCGCCUAACCAAUUUGAACCAAAUUUUGUACUGUUGUAAGGACACACAGGGACACCUCAACAGUGUAAUUUGUGAUGAUGUCAUCCAUCCCAAUUCAAGAUGGCAGAGUGUGAGCAUUCAAGGCAGAAGUGGACUCACUUUUGAUAAUGGUAAUUAUCAAUUAAGACUAUAGUGGAAGGAAAGUAUACAGAUUAGUUGUUACCAGAACUUCUUGUUCUUAUGUCCAUUAACUGAGAAUCUUUCUGAAGUGGAGAUGCUGGACUCAGACUUGGGGCCUAUUACACAUAAGUAUUUUCUUUCUUUAUUUACAUAAGACUUUCUGUCCUGCCUUUCUGCUCAAGCAUUCAAGGCAGCUAACAACUAAUUAAAGGAGAAACAGUUAAUAACACACUCCAUAAAACAAUUUAACACACAAAUUGCAAUAAAAAUUUAAUUGUAAACAAUGGAAGAGAAAGCAAAAUGAUCCAAACAGCUAUUUGAGUUUAUUUGCCUGCUUAAACAAAUAGGUUUUCAAAAGGCAAUAAAAACACAUUACUGUGGGGCUAGGCAAAUCUCCGAGGAGCAGGAAUGGCACAGCUCUGCCACAUAGGCCCUGCCAUGCAGAGGGCCUUUUCCUUCAUUGCACUGUGCUAGCUCCUCUGAAGUAUGCAAAAUUCUCCAAGCAGGUAAAGUUGCUCUUCUAGUUUCGCAUUACCUUCCCUUGCCUCCUUCUUUUUGUCCUAACUAAUGAGCUGGUGGUGAGGAGGCUUUGCAACCACACUGCCCAGUGCUAUCUGGGUACUUCUCAGCAACUUUAUCUGUGACCAGGAAAACUGGACUCUUUCACAUAAGGCUAUAUCUGGGUCCAAUGACAAAUGUGUUGGUGAGUUCCUAGAAAGGCAGUAGAUCUGGGCUGAAAUGGUAUUAAACCACUCUACCUAUCAUGACAUUGAGGCACUUCACACAGGCGGUGUGAAACGCCAAAAGGAGGUCUGCAGGGAGAGAGGGUUUUCCUGACCCCGCAGACCAUCCCUUACCGUUCCCUGGGUGGACAGAUUGCCUCCCAGAUGAGUGGCGGCUCUCCUGUAGGCCACCCACAGCUCAUCCGGCAGCUCCAUGGGUCAGGUGCAGGGAAGUGCCGCUGCUCAGUGCCUCACCCCCUGGAACCCCAAUAAUGCACCACGCUCACACGGUGCAUUACUGGGCACCCCCCCGAGUGUGCUAGCCGCGGCUGCAAGCAGUCACAGCUGACAUGCUAUUAGUUAGCCCGAUUUGGGGGCACGCUCGUGCCAAAACCUGGGUUACACGACAGGCUACUUUAGAGGGCUCACCAAUGCCGGGAGCUGUGUGGCUCCCGGCAGUUCUCACAUGCAGUGAAAACCAGGUUGGGCUUCUCUAGCCCGGUUUUCGCUGCUUGUGAGAAUAGCUUCAUUGUAUUGCCAUUGCUAAGUAUUGCUGUCUGUAGAUAAGGAGGAUUCUAUCAGGACAAAUAACUCUAGCCUUGUAAUGUUACAUAGUGUUACAGCCAUAAAUUCUUAUAUUUUCCUGAGAAUUACUUCAAUGUUUGUAUAAAUAAUCCAGACUUUCCACAAAGGGAAUUGAUAAAAAAUUAACAUAAUCACCAUAGAGAGCUUCUAAGGAACCAUCAAUGCAACAGAAGUUAAGGUAAUUCUUUUCUUUUAUUGAUGGUAGCAUCAAAACCAUGUUAAUAUUUGCUUUCUGGUAAAUGUAUCAGAGCAGUAUACUCAUGUAAGUUGAAACAAAGUCCUCAAAAAUAAUCACAAAGAAGCUGCUUAAUUGUUUUAAUAGUUGGUUGCCAGUUGGUGUUUGUGCUUGUUAUUUAUCAUUAUCACGAAGGCUUAUUCUCACUCCAAUUUAUUCUUGUAUAUCUAAAGACUAAUAAAU